GUGAGUGUCGCCUAGCGGUCUAAGGCGCCAGGUUGUGGCCCUGGAGAACGAGGGUUCAAAUCCCUCCACUCACCCCA
rnacentral:tRNA from 1 species